GAGGGUGUAGCUCAGUGGUAGAGUGUGUGCUUAGCAUGCACAAGGUCCUGGGUUCAAUCCCCAGAACCUCCA
rnacentral:tRNA from 1 species